UGCGCUUCUGUCCCUCUGCCGGGGGCCGCGCCGCCUCGGGCUGGCGGGGGUUGUCCCUGCCCGGCCUCGCCCCCCGCGGCGCGGGUGCGGGAGGGGAGCGGGGGCACGGCCCGGUGUGGGCAGGAGCCGGGCCGGCCGGGGCGAGGCGAAGGAGAAGGAACCCGAGGGCAGGCGGGCAGCAGCUGCCUCCUGCUGCGGGCACAGAGGGCCUGGCCCUGCGGUGGGGGGGGCCCAGCCCCGCAGCAGCCGGGUGCCAGCGUGCACAGCGGGGUCCGUGUGUCACCCGCGGGGUCCGUGUGUCACCCACAGCCUGGGGCGGCCCCCGGUGCGCGAGGGAGCGACGCGCCGUGUCCGGGAGGCCGCGUCUUGCGAGGAAGAGCUGUGACACCGUGAAAGGAUGGGAUAAGAAAACCUGAUGCCCUGAGCACGUCAUUUCCAGAGAAACAUGUUGCCUGUACACCUUCAUUUGGGAGGAGGACAGAUCCAGUGUGGGGAGGAGGCAGCGGGGCUUGCUACCGGCAGAGGGGCUGCUUCACGUGCAGGCAGCUGCCACUCUGGAGGGGAGCUGGAGUUUGGCUCGGGGCCAGGGUGCUGAUCCUAAACCCAGCUUUCCUCAAGUACAUCCAUGACAACUGGACACAGCACCACGGAUGGUACCCCUCCACCAGCUUCGCUGCCCUGCUCUUUGCCUUGCAUGCUUGCCAGCAGGUGAGCGUGGCCAGCAUGACCAGGUGCUGCCACCAUACCACCUGCCAUACCACUGUCUGUCUGUGCACCCUCAAGGGUGACCAAGCACCUGUGCAGUGAUGGCUCUGGUGUGUGUGCAGGUUUCUGUAUUUGGCUUCGGAGCAGACAGUGAAGGGAACCGGCAUGACUACUGGAAGAAAAACUGCUGGUCUGGAGCCUUUUGCAGGACAAGGGUCCACAACACCGAUGUUGAGUUCAGCCUCAUUGAGCGAUGAGCAGUGGAAGUCUGGAUUUUAUUCUACAAAUGAUUCGGUUCUAAGAAACUGAAGCCAGGUUGUUAGUGCAGGAACUGGCAGCAGCUGCCUUGGCUCUUUAGCUUGCUUCUCCCCCACCAGCAGUGCCAUACACCUGGCAUACAUACAUGCACCCCAGGGUCUCAGUGCUUCUUGUGCUGGUCCCACCAGCUGGGCACUGUGGCUGCCAGGUGAUGUGGUCCUAUGGCACCAGGAAUGCUGAAUCUGGCUGGACACAGGGUGGGCAGGGCUCUGCCCACGCUGGCUGGGAGAGACAAAGGGGCUGGAGGUGGGUGUGUAGCUCAUGAGCUGCUGUAUGUGUCCCUGUAGCAGCUGCAAAGCCACCGGAUGACAGCGGUGGUGGUGACAGCAGCCACUCAAACAUGGCUGUCCACAUGGUGGAGCUGACAUUUUCAUCCACUAAUGGUUUUUGGGGGAGGCUCACAGUUGUUCUUGGGGAAGGGAGAGAGAAGCAUCUUCCCUUCCUGUCUUUUAAGGAAGGAAAUAUUUUUAAAAUUGUGUCAAAGAAAAGAAAGAAAAAGAAAAUCAAGCAUGCUGUCAGAAGAUCACAGAUUCAAGUACAGUUGAAAUGAUCUUACACUGACAAACUUUGCCUGUGAACCUAUUACUAAUAUUUGCUUUACUUUUCGAGCCCUUACUGCUUCGAGAAGAUAGUACCAUCUAUCUCAGCCCCACCCUGCAGAACAAGAUUGCAAACCCUGGAGACUGAACUCCCCAAAGGAGCUUCAAACACAAACAUCCUUGAAUGAGACUGAGUUUCCCAUGGCAGUUGGUCACUUUGUCUUUCAGUCUAUUAAAAUCACCACACCUCUCCUACUCAUAAGCUCCCAUUUUACAGCAGAAGCCUGUGUUACUUAACUAUUAGCUCCAUUGAUUUUUUCUGCCUCUCCAGGUAGAAUCUCCAUUUCUCUGUGUCUUCUGUUUCUCUUCUCCAUUAUAUCCAGUUUCCUCACGCUCGGUACCAGUCUUGCGCUGACCUGCCCCUUCACCUUCCCCCUGUUUUCUCUAGAUGCUGAGCAGUGCUCUGUGCAACGCUCCUCAAUGGUUUUCUGAGAUUUAGAAGUAAUUGGCUUUCUUACCUCAGACAAGCGAUUAGCUGGUAAUGUUCAAGCAUAGGUUAAACUCUUGCUACAUUAUUUCCAUUCAUCUUCCCUCUCCUGAUUAUUCUUUCAAAUUUAGUUACAAAGCUGUGUGCUCUGCUGAGGGACUGAAACUGUUCGAGUAACUUUUUGUUCCUUAUGUAACAUAUAGAUACUAUAUCACUUCCCUUACAUUGUAGUGGUACUGUAUGAUCCUGACCUGAUGGAUUUAUUAAAUAUCCUUGUUUCAAAUGUUUGUUUGUGGUUGUGUUUUUUUUUUUUAACCCAUUUUUUUCAGUAUUCUUGCUUGGAGAUUAAUCAGACUUCUUACAGACACCUCAAACUGCUUCUCUUCCCAGUUUAAAAAAACACAGAUUUUUAUAUUCCCUGGUUUAUAAUCAAGUUCAAAUGCAUUAUAAAAUAGCUUUCUCUCUACAUUAUCUGAUCCUGUGCUUGUCACACUCACUGCGCACUGUUGGACCAACUGCUUGGACCAAGUUUAGAGUCAAAACCACAGCACACCCAGAGCUGAGAUUUAAGAGUGGUACGUUUUGGCUUAGUAUUGCCUCCACAAUAUUUUAUUUUUCCUCAUAUUUUCAGAUGACUCCUAAUAUAGUUUCACAUACCAAGCACUUUACUCACUUGUGUAGAUCAUUAAAAAGAAAAAAACCCACCCACCACAAAUAGUGUAUCUACGUAUUUUGCCACAAUGCAGGUAUGUUUUUUAAUUAUAAUUUCCAAUUCAGUACCAGGGUUAG